rnacentral:lncRNA from 1 species
UGAGUGGACCUUUGAUGUUUAACUCGACCAAACAAAAGCCUUCAAUCAGAGACGAAAACUUAAUCAGCAGAACAAAACGAUAAUAGGACAACGCCGCCGAUCACAAACGGAACUUCGAACAGAACCUCACAUUCAUAACAUUGUAAUAACAUUGUAAUAUAACCAGAAUAAUAUGAAAGAAGUAAUCUUACCACCAAAAAUGGAAACCUCGAACCAGACCAGAAAACCUGCCGGAGCCGCGACAAAACUCCACAACGGGCCUCGUCGGAACCACGGACAGAACCUCAUCGUGAACUCAACCCGACUCAAACUCUGAACUCGCCGGAUUCCAGGGUUUUAAAUUGACAAUCAGAAGAAGAAACUAACAUUUGAAACAAAAAUCAAAGGACUUGAAUGCGAAGUCUGUCCUCCGUUUUUGUCGUUCGUCCCUUCACCACAAAAUCCCCAAAUUUCUUUUGCUAUGUCACUAUGUGUUUAUAUGAAGAAUCCCCAAUUGAAUAAAGUGUUUUUUGUUUGAGAAGAAAAUUUCAAAUGUAUGGCUGCUAUGAUAUUUGAAGAAGGAGGUGCCUCCUUUAUCCCUAAGUCAGCUUUUUAGUCUUUUCUUGGCAUUUCAGCUGAUGCAUUUUUGGGAGUCGACCAUGGGAACGACGGAUUCCAUUUUUGCAGAGUGUUUUUU